GUCUAUACAUGCAAGUCGAGCGGACCAAAGAAGAGCUUGCUCUUCGGCGGUUAGCGGCGGACGGGUGAGUAACACGUAGGCAACCUGCCUGUACGACUGGGAUAACUCCGGGAAACCGGAGCUAAUACCGGAUACGUUUUUCAGACCGCAUGGUCUGAAAGAGAAAGACCUUUGGUCACGUACAGAUGGGCCUGCGGCGCAUUAGCUAGUUGGUGGGGUAACGGCCUACCAAGGCGACGAUGCGUAGCCGACCUGAGAGGGUGAUCGGCCACACUGGGACUGAGACACGGCCCAGACUCCUACGGGAGGCAGCAGUAGGGAAUCUUCCGCAAUGGACGAAAGUCUGACGGAGCAACGCCGCGUGAACGAUGAAGGUUUUCGGAUCGUAAAGUUCUGUUGUUAGGGAAGAACCGCCGGGAUGACCUCCCGGUCUGACGGUACCUAACGAGAAAGCCCCGGCUAACUACGUGCCAGCAGCCGCGGUAAUACGUAGGGGGCAAGCGUUGUCCGGAAUUAUUGGGCGUAAAGCGCGCGCAGGCGGCUUCUUAAGUCAGGUGUGAAACCCCACGGCUCAACCGUGGAGGGCCACUUGAAAACUGGGAGGCUUGAGUGCAGGAAAGGAGAGCGGAAUUCCUCGUGUAGCGGUGAAAAUGCGUAAAGAUGGGGACGAAC
rnacentral:rRNA from 1 species